GCACAGCCACCUUGCAGAUCUAAGACGGCCAGACAACCUCUGAAGUGAGGAGUGGCAGGAUGGUGCUGCCUUCUAUGGAUCCCAUGGAAUUGUAUGGAGAAUUAACCAUGCCUGCGGGAGCUGCUUUCACCAUUUUGCAGCUCUGUUUGUAACCCAAUUCCCAGUGGCCCCAGGAAGCCGUGGUUGGUCUCUGUCCAUCCAUUCAAUGCCGCUUCUCCAGAUGAAUCUGCCACGGCAGUUGGGGAUCUGGACCUUCGCUGCGCAGAGACAGAAAUCAAGAGCCCAUUCAUCACACAGAAAACAGACACCUGACAGAUCCAAUUCCACGUCAAUGCUGCAAACCUACAGAAAAAAACAGAGGGCCUCAUUUUCUCAGGCAAGGGACAGAAAGUUGCCAAGUAAAGGCCAUAGGGUAAAACACUAGUGGCACUCUUUUAAUAGCCCCUCCCUUCAGGCAGCAAAUCACGGCCUGUUAGGUUCUGUCUUCCAGCUCACAAGGCUAGAAGACUCCAGGUGUCUUGUGAGCAUGGACUCACUGGGCUGUUUGGGUCAAGGGAAUAAAACA